CACGGACCUCGUGAAUACGCUUAGGUCCAAUACGAGUGUUGGAAGGUUGACGACCCAACUCGAAUUUUCUCUUCUUGCGGUACUGAGCACGCUUAGCACCGGUAGCAGAGCGCUUGUGUCGUGAGUCUCUGGUAAUUCCCAUGUUGGUGAUUUGGAGAUGGCUAGAAAUCGCCGACAAAAAGUUUAGCCUGGCUUUCGAUUGUGACUGUCUUUUUGAAUAAUUUAAGGAACUCC